rnacentral:rRNA from 1 species
CCUACGGGUGGCAGCAGUGGGGAAUAUUGGUCAAUGGACGAAAGUCUGACCCAGCCAAGUCGCGUGAAGGAUGAAUGCCCUAUGGGUUGUAAACUUCUUUUAUCUGGGAAUAAAAUGUUCCACGUGUGGGAUUUUGUAUGUACCAUAUGAAUCAGAAUCGGCUAACUCCGUGCCAGCAGCCGCGGUAAUACGGAGGAUCCGAGCGUUAUCCGGAUUUAGUGGGUGUAAAGGGAGCGUAGGUGGAUUGUUAAGUCAGGUGUGAAAGUUUGCGGCUCAACCGGAACAUUGCAGUUGAAACUGGCAGUCGUGAGGACAGGAGAGGUGGGCGGAAUUCGUGGUGUAGCGGUGAAAUGCUUAGAUAUCACGAAGAACACCGAUUGCGAAGGCAGCUCACUGGACUGCAACUGACACUGAGGCGCGAAAGUGUGGGUAGCAAACAGGAUUAGAUACCCUAGUAGUC